UAAUUGGAAGGGAAGCAUGGACAUCUGGCAAAUGAUCCGUGGGUCGUUGUCUCAGAGGGGAAGAAGGGAAGAAGAUACGGCUGAAGUCCUUUAUAGGGUCAUUCUCCUGCGCUGACAGUCCAGCCUACUCAGUCCGGCCUGGAGGAGGAAGCCCAGAUCUAGAGAAGAAAAAACAGUGGUUGGAGUUUAAGAGGGUUGCCUGGAGUCCCACAGCCACUGGUGGCUCAGAUGGACCUUAAACCCACAACAUCAGAGACAUCGAGCCAACACUCUCCUAUAAACAUUCUUAAUAAAUUAAACCCGUUCACGAGGAAUGAAGCACGAGACAGAAGAGUGAGUGUGCCGAUUAAAACUCAAGAAGGCACAUUUCUCCAAUCAUGACCUGGGUAAGAAAUACAGGGCUGCAAGGGGUCUGUUUUGCCUCAGCUGCCAUCCAGCCCAACCCCACACCAGCCAGGCGGCAGGGAGCUCUCUUUCUGCACCAAAGGCUUAGCUGCAAUGUGGUUUAAAUUAGACAUUUCUUGCCUGAGUAGAACAAAUCACUUAGGUUAUAUGCUGACAAAAAAGGAACAGUCUGCAUGCUUGGAAAGCUUAGGGGGAAUUAAAUUAUGUGCUGUCACUUCAGAGUUGUUCCUCUGUCCUCUCCACCACCACCUCUCAAUUGCCUGCAGGAGUCCUGGAGCCUUGCGUGCAAGCUGAGCCAUAACCCAAGGCUUAACAUAAACUUUGGACUCUCAGGUCAUUGGGAAAUAACAGGUAUAUCCGGUUGGGCCUUUUGUGCUUGUCUGCACGCAAAUUAAAAGCUCGUGCAAAGCUGAACUCCUUGGAGCCUCUGGUUAGGGAGAAGGGAGGGUGCCUUGGAAGAGAAUUCUCACACGAUCUCCCUGUUUAUUUUUUCAGGGAAUCAGGGGAUAGAGCUUGUUUAUGAGGAGUUUGCACCUCUGGGAGGCUGAGCUCAGAAGGGGCGGGAUGUGGUGGUGGCCUUGAGCCAGAUGGUCCGUGGGGGAGCAAUGCUCCAAAGGAUCCCAAGUCAGAGCUUUGAAAGGGCACAGUUCUUACAGACCUUCAGGGAGCGGGUGGAGGUGGGGGGCCAAUGCCCGUGCCUCCCUGCUGGUGGUAACAGUGGAAGAGAGCUUGCAGGGGCAGAGCUGAGUGGGGAGGGCCACAGGAGGGGGCCUGAAACCAAGGGGCCAUGCACCCAGGCACCAAGAGCUGUCACCUUGGCUCCCCCCUUCCCUUUGGAUGACCCCAAUAUGAUGAGGCUCUGAAGCCUCCAGGGGGCCGGUUGGAGUGGGAAAGGAGUGUCCACUCUGUGCCCAGGCUUCCUCCAAUGGGAAGCUGAAUGAUCACGUCUCCAGCCCUUGAACUGCGGGGAUUUUCUCCAUCCGGAGUUGGCCCACCUGGUGUGGCUGGGAGGCAGAAGAGAGUUUUUGGGGUCUGGAAGACCUGAAUUCAAGUUUCAGCUUGGGUGUCACAGGAGCUGUGUGACUUUGGUUGAUAACUCCACCUUCUCCCACCUUGCUGUAUUUGUUUGUAGAAAAGGGAUUAUGGUAAUAGUCACCUCCAAAGGUUGGUUGUGAGCGAUUAAUGAGAUGAUUUAUGUCAAGUGCUUGGCACACUGCCUGGCUCAAAGUGCUAAAUAAAUGGU
ensembl:lncRNA